AGUGAACGCUGGCGGUAGGCCUAACACAUGCAAGUCGAACGGCAGCACAGUAAGAGCUUGCUCUUACGGGUGGCGAGUGGCGGACGGGUGAGGAAUACAUCGGAAUCUACUUUUUCGUGGGGGAUAACGUAGGGAAACUUACGCUAAUACCGCAUACGACCUACGGGUGAAAGCAGGGGAUCUUCGGACCUUGCGCGAUUGAAUGAGCCGAUGUCGGAUUAGCUAGUUGGCGGGGUAAAGGCCCACCAAGGCGACGAUCCGUAGCUGGUCUGAGAGGAUGAUCAGCCACACUGGAGCUGAGACACGGUCCAGACUCCUACGGGAGGCAGCAGUGGGGAAUAUUGGACAAUGGGCGCAAGCCUGAUCCAGCCAUACCGCGUGGGUGAAGAAGGCCUUCGGGUUGUAAAGCCCCUUUGUUGGGAAAGAAAAGCAGCAGGUUAAUACCCCGCUGUUCUGACGGUACCCAAAGAAUAAGCACCGGCUAACUUCGUG
rnacentral:rRNA from 1 species